ACCCUUGUUUUCUUACUCAUCAGAUCUGAACAUUGAUCUUAGUAGUUACAAAAGGCAGAAAGGUAAAAUUGAAAUUGACUUCAAUGUUGGCACAUGGGCUAGUUUCAAACAAAA
rnacentral:snoRNA from 1 species